ensembl:miRNA
GAUGGUCAUCGAGAGCCCAGUGACUGGGAGUAACAGUGCUUCUCAUGCACUGGGGUCUUGAUGGGCAUU